GAUGAACGCUGGCGGCGUGCCUAAUACAUGCAAGUAGAACGCUGAAGGAAGGAGCUUGCUCUUUCCGGAUGAGUUGCGAACGGGUGAGUAACGCGUAGGUAACCUGCCUGGUAGCGGGGGAUAACUAUUGGAAACGAUAGCUAAUACCGCAUAACAGUAGAUGUUGCAUGAUAUCUACUUAAAAGGUGCAAUUGCACCACUACCAGAUGGACCUGCGUUGUAUUAGCUAGUUGGUGAGGUAACGGCUCACCAAGGCGACGAUACAUAGCCGACCUGAGAGGGUGAUCGGCCACACUGGGACUGAGACACGGCCCAGACGCCUACGGGAGGCAGCAGUAGGGAAUCUUCGGCAAUGGACGGAAGUCUGACCGAGCAACGCCGCGUGAGUGAAGAAGGUUUUCGGAUCGUAAAGCUCUGUUGUAAGAGAAGAACGAGUGUGAGAGUGGAAAGUUCACACUGUGACGGUAUCUUACCAGAAAGGGACGGCUAACUACGUG
rnacentral:rRNA from 1 species